rnacentral:rRNA from 1 species
UACAGAGGGUGCAAACGUUGUUCGGAAUUACUGGGCGUAAAGCGUGUGUAGGCUGCUACAUAAGUCGGAUGUUAAAGCCCCGGGCUCAACCCGGGAAGUGCACUCGAUACUGCGUAGCUUGAGUCUCGGAGAGGUUGGUGGAAUUCUCGGUGUAGAGGUGAAAUUCGUAGAUAUCGAGAGGAACACCGGUGGCGAAGGCGGCCAACUGGACGAAGACUGACGCUGAGACACGAAAGCGUGGGGAGCAAACAGG